rnacentral:rRNA from 1 species
CUGGAAUCGCUAGUAAUCGCGGAUCAGAAUGCCGCGGUGAAUACGUUCCCGGGUCUUGUACACACCGCCCGUCACACCAUGGGAGGUCGGAAAUGCCCGAAGUCUGUGACCUAACCGUAAGGAAGGAGCAGCCGAAGGCAGGUCGGAUGACUGGGGUGAAGUCGUAACAAGGUAGC